rnacentral:rRNA from 1 species
UGGGGAAUAUUGGACAAUGGGCGCAAGCCUGAUCCAGCCAUGCCGCGUGGGUGAUGAAGGCCCUAGGGUUGUAAAGCCCUUUCAGCGGGGAAGAUAAUGACGGUACCCGCAGAAGAAGCCCCGGCUAACUUCGUGCCAGCAGCCGCGGUAAUACGAAGGGGGCUAGCGUUGCUCGGAAUUACUGGGCGUAAAGCGCACGUUGGCGGCUUUCUAAGUCGGGGGUGAAAUCCUGGAGCUCAACUCCAGAACUGCCUUCGAUACUGGAAAGCUCGAGUCCGGGAGAGGUGAGUGGAACUGCGAGUGUAGAGGUGAAAUUCGUAGAUAUUCGCAAGAACACCAGUGGCGAAGGCGGCUCACUGGCCCGGUACUGACGCUGAGGUGCGAAAGCGUGGGGAGCAAACAGG